AUUGAACGCUGGCGGCAGGCCUAACACAUGCAAGUCGAGCGGAGCGGCGGACGGGUGAGUAAGGCCUAGGAAUCUGCCUGGCACUGGGGGAUCACGCCUGGAACAGGGCGCUAACACUGCAUACUUUCAGAUGAGCCUUGGUCGGAUUAGCGAGUGGGUGGGGUAAGGGCCUACCAAGGGGACGAUCCGUAACUGGUCUGAGAGGAAGAUAAGUCACACUGGAACGGAGACACGGGCCAGACUCCUACGGGAGGCAGCAGUGGGGAAUAUUGGACAAUGGGGGAAAGCCUGAUCCGGCCAUGCCGCGUGUGUGAAGAAGGUCUUCGGAUUGUAAAGCACUUGAAGUUGGGAGGCGUUACCAACAGAAUAAGCACCGGCUAACUUCGUGCCAGCAGCCGCGGUAAUAC
rnacentral:rRNA from 1 species